AAAAAAAAACUCUUCUUCUCAAAAAUGAAUCACUUCUCUCUUUCCUAUUCUUUCUCUCUUUCUCUUCUUCUCUUUGUUUUUAUCUCCUUCUCUUUUUC
rnacentral:ribozyme from 13 species